rnacentral:tRNA from 3 species
GCGUCUGUCGUUCAACGGAUAGGACUACAGUCUUCGGAACUGUUAAUGGGGGUUCGAUUCCUCCCAGACGCACUA